rnacentral:rRNA from 1 species
AUUGAACGCUGGCGGAAUGCUUUACACAUGCAAGUCGAGCGGCAGCACGGGGGCAACCCUGGUGGCGAGCGGCGAACGGGUGAGUAAUACAUCGGAACAUGCCCAGUCGUGGGGGAUAACACUUCGAAAGAAGUGCUAAUACCGCAUACGUCCUGAGGGAGAAAGCGGGGGAUCGCAAGACCUCGCGCGAUUGGAGUGGCCGAUGUCAGAUUAGGUAGUUGGUGGGGUAAAGGCCGACCAAGGCAACGAUCUGUAGCGGGUCUGAGAGGAUGGUCAGCCACACUGGGACUGAGAUACGGACCAGACUCCUAAGUGAGGCAGCAGUGGGGAAUUUUGGACAAUGGGGGCAACCCUGAUCCAGCCAUUCCGCGUGAGUGAAGAAGGCCUUCGGGUUGUAAAGCUCUUUCGGCAGGAACGAAACGGUGAGCUCUAACAUAGCUUGCUAAUGACGGUACCUGAAGAAGAAGCACCGGCUAACUACGUGCCAGCCGCCGCAGUAAAAC